AUACGGAGGGGGUUAGCGUUGUUCGGAAUUACUGGGCGUAAAGCGCACGUAGGCGGACUGGAAAGUUGGGGGUGAAAUCCCGGGGCUCAACCCCGGAACUGCCUCCAAAACUUCCAAUCUAGAGAUCGAGAGAGGUGAGUGGAAUUCCAAGCGUAGAGGAGAAAUUCGUAGAUAUUUGGAGGAACACCAGUGGCGAAGGCGGCUCACUGGCUCGAUACUGACGCUGAGGUGCGAAAGCGUGGGGAGCAAACAGGAUUAGAAACCCCGGUAGUCC
rnacentral:rRNA from 1 species